rnacentral:sRNA from 1 species
UUCUUGAUGCGCUGAUGAUGAAGGCUGC